rnacentral:lncRNA from 1 species
AAGGCACAAGCCAGGGCAAGCAGGUGAGGCUUUAUCUCAGUUUGUGACAGGCCGUGGUGUCUGUUUCUGCACUUCUUUACCAACCCCCGUCUUACAUCUGCCGGCCCGCCGGAGUCAGGCUGGGAAAAUUCCCUUGAGUGGAACAAGUAGGAGGAAGUAGAAGGUUGAUUUCAGGACAGCCGAACUGCAGGAGCUCGCAACUGCUCAGUGAGUAAAGCCUCCAUCCACCCGUGACCAUCCAGUACAUGAGGCAGUGAAGGCAGGCAUCUCAGACCUCCCAGGAAGCCAAAUCAGCAGCAGCAUGCCUGCGGGCCACGGACCCCCACAGAGAAGCGAAACUACCCGACUUAGAAUCCUGUCCAGCAGAGCAAACCUAAAAUAUGGCUUUUCCACUUUAAUCCGUUACUUAUUAUUGCUCACUUUUCCUAUUCGUUUCUGACAAUAAAGGGUAACCGGUGUUUUAUAUCAAUGUAAUACAGUGAUGCGAGAAAUGUUAGGAUGUGUAUAAUAUUAAUACAUUAUCACAUUCUAUGAUGAUAUUAGUAUAAAUAUCAUUAAGAAGGUUGAACCAAACAAUUCAUAGACAUGUAAUGCGUUAGUUAAUCAUGACAGUAUAAACAAACCAAAUGUUGGGCCACACAUAUGAUCUGUGAUGUAUUAAAACAUUUAAAAUCUGAUCAGUUGACUGAAUUUUUAAGGGGAAAAAAAAAUCAAAAGAGUAAUUUCUUAUAAGUAUUGGUCUCUGGAUUGGUGAUAAGCUUUUUUUA